rnacentral:rRNA from 1 species
UACGAAGGGGGCUAGCGUUGCUCGGAAUCACGGGGCGUAAAGCGCACGUAGGCGGACUCUUAAGUCGGUGGCGAAAUCCUGGAGCUCAACUCCAGAACUGCCUUCGAUACUGGGAGUCUCGAGUCCGGGAGAGGUGAGUGGAACUGCGAGUGUAGAGGUGAAAUUCGUAGAUAUUCGCAAGAACACCAGUGGCGAAGGCGGCUCACUGGCCCGGUACUGACGCUGAGGUGCGAAAGCGUGGGGAGCAAACAGG